AUUCAUCUCAUCCAUGGCUUUGAGUCAUCACUUCCACCUCUUUCCAUCUUUGUGCUACUCAUCACAUACUGUUCUCUCUUUAUUGUCAUUCCCCCCGCAUAGAGUUGUCCCGUCCAUAUCAUUGAGACCCCAUCUUUUGACCUUACCUCUUCAUGCGCUAGGACAAAAUCUCUGGUCUUUCUUUAAUUCUUCAGUAUAGUUCACUUCAUUUCGCUCAUUGCUCGUGCUUCUACUUGCAUUCUCUACACUCGUGAUCUAUACCGAAGAGG
rnacentral:lncRNA from 1 species